AGGUAAAUGAUGUGGAGUGUGGUUUGCAUAUUGAUCAGAUGCUUCAGUGCUCUGAGAGUGUUUAUAGUGCUGUGAGUUUACCACUUCAUCACUGACACACACAACAAUCUUCAUCAACAUGACCUUCAUCAUCAUCUUCAUCUGGACUCUCACAGCGUUUGCUCAAGAGUGUAGAGGACAGAUCAGCGUCACUCAGAGACCCUCAACGAAAGCAGCUCAACCAGGAGAAACAGUGAAGAUCAGCUGUAAAACCAGCACAGAUGUGUACAGUGAUCUUUUUGGGAAUUAUUAUUUCAGCUGGUACUUACAGAAACCUGGAGAAGCUCCUAAAGUCCUGAUUUAUUUAACAAGCAGCCGUCAGUCAGGAACUCCAUCUAGAUUCAGUGGCAGUGGAUCUAACAGUGAUUUCACUCUGACCAUCAGUGGAGUCCAGACUGAAGAUGCUGGACAUUAUUACUGUCAGAGUUACCAUUGGAUCAACAGUAAAAAUGUGUUCACACAGUGA